GUUUUCAUUCCGCCUGUGUCCAAUAUAACGAUAGAGCGUUGUAUUAUGAAGAUUUGUUAUUCACUGUUUUUCGUGUUUCUUUUCAGCAAAAAUAACGACGAAUUAACAGAGUAAGGUGUAAUUAAAGCAGUGUCGACGAAGGUAAGACGAAAUAGAGUAUAGUUCUGGCGUAUAUUUUUGUAUGAAGUGAUUAGUGUUUAUAUAUGCUCGCACAGCUGUUUCAUAAUAUUGCUUUGUGUUGUGACAUGCCCAAUUCACAGACUCCGUAGAGAAAAUAUACAUCCCAUUUCCUUGUGAUUUGGUGUUUUUUGGAUUUGAUAUUCCCUUUAGGAUCGACAUAUAGCUACCGAUUCAGCGCAAAAAUCCUUAUGUUCGAUUGAUUAACUAACAUUAAUAUGCUUCUAAGUUAUCUAUGAUAUACAAUCAUGCAGGGGUACAACUUACAAGCAUUAUCAAGCUUCGACUUUUCCGCUAGUUUUGAAGCAUACAUGCAUGCAAAAUUGUUGCAGUUGAAUAGUAUAUUGAUAGCAAUUAUAAUUUUAAAUGCUAUACUCUAUAGAAGUUAAUAUAUACAGUAGAGCAUUAUGCGAAAGUUUAUGCACAUGUUUAAUAAAUUUAUUUCGAUAUCAAUGAUGCUGUAUUAAGUAGUUAAAAACUGAAAGUGUUGGGAUGCAUUGUUCAAAACGAAAUCCAACAUUUAAUGUUGUUUUAGCUUUACAUUAUGCGAGUAUAGUCUUGCAAAUUCUGGGAGAUACAUUGCAAGUUAUAAAUCUUUAAUUUUGACGCUAUUGGCGUAUUGCAUGAGAUUUUUAAUAAUACAACUUGGCGAAUACAUAAUACAAUAAUAAAUAUUAUUUUUAAUAACUUCGUGGCAUUGUGAAACUAUAUCUUAUAUAAAAUUAUACUUUGUGCCAUAUACAUGCAGUAAGAUUGGUAAAGUGCAAAGUGUUGAGUAUUAUGUUAUUUCCGUUUGCACGUAUAGCGGAUGUAUUUGCCAUCAUUCAUUUGAGUCCAAAGAUCAACAACAAAAGAUAUAAAUUAUUCAAGAAAAUGCAAAUGUUUGUUCUAAACAAGUGAACGUCUAGAGUUUUGCAUAUGGCAGUAUAAAUACGAAAAGCAAUACAUAUAAAAUAAUAAAACUCGGUUAUCGGUUUUAACGUCGCGCGUGAAAGAAUACCUAUUAAAUAGUAGUAUACAGAUCUUCUCAUGCUGCCGAGCGAAGCAAAUAGUGAUGGCACAUGCGACAUAUUACAGAUAAAUACAUGAUUUAGUCAAGCUAAGAAAUUAAAAUGUAACUUAUAUAAUUGCUGCAAUUGUAGUAUAAAGGAUGGUAUAUCGAACGUUUGUCAGAGUAAUUGCAAAUGAAUUUGUUUCGUGUUUUGGACUAUGCUUCCGUCAAAAUACAGUGUUCUCGUAAGUAGUUGGCUCAGAACGGGAGAGUAUGGCUAAUAAAUCUUUAUUAAUAUUGACUUUGUAUAAUGGACGGUUGAUAAAAAGCAUAUAUGGUGAAAUGCAGAAAAAGAUCUGUAAUGUAGGCGGUAAUGGGUAUAUAAUUAUAUCUGGUAACAAGUCUUUUGAUGCCCCAGUGGAUGCCCCAUCAAUGCCGGAUUGGAAGAAGAAUUGAGAGAUCAUAAUUUUUUAACAUAGAUAUUCAUGUGGAAACUCUAAUAGUAAUAGACUCGACAGCUAUUAAGAGCAAAAACUAGUACAGGAAGUUUGAGGGAGCAAAAAUGAAUUGAACAGUACCUACAGGUAUGGCUGACAUUCUAGCCAACACUUUCUUUAGAUAACAUACUCUUAUGGGAUAAAAUUGAAAGAAAUGCCAGAUGAAAAUGUCGGCAGAGUGAACCGUGGGGACCAAAUUUAACUCCAAAUGAAGAGUAAAAUUCGGUCCAAAAUACUCCACCGGAGUUAAAUUAACUCCCUUGAAAUUAAAGUGAAGUUGCAUUGCAUCAUUCGCCUCGUGUAAGAUGGGCUUAAGUGUAAUACACGUUCUUUCAUUCGAAAUAUCGUUAUUCCUUUGAGUAUCAUAUAGGGGCCGGUUGUAUAAAAGGCUUAACUACUUUUGAAAUAACUACCCGUUUUGUAGUCUUUACUCUCAAAUUCGCGAUUCUGAUUGGUUACUUUUUUGCACAAACUGUGGUUAAAUUUUAACUACUUUUUUAUAAAACCGACCUCUGAUGUCAUCAUUCAUAGUUCAUUUUGCCCCGUUGGUGUGGGCUCGGUUUCUCAGCGGUCUUACAAAGUAAAAUUACAUAUGAAGUAACAUUUCCUGAAGAGUACUAGCUAGGGUAUAUUAUAGCUCAUCAGAAUUCUUUCCCGAUCGUACAGAGUACUGUACGACCUCAAAAACGCCUAUAUGAUUCUCUCUCAAGUAAACUCAAGUAAGCUCUCUCUCUAAUCAGGCCCGCCGAGGGGGGGGGGGGGGGGUGGACAUAUUGCCCCGGGUCUCCAGCUCAAAAGGGGUCCCAAAUCGACGAAGUUCCUUUCUUGAUACAAACUAAGAAUAAUAAAUUCUAAGCUAAACUAAGAAUAUAAAUCCUAUCUACGUCAGUACCGAAGAGUAUUCAUGCAAUAAAGCAGGGGAAUGUUUUAUGACGUCAUAGGGGCCCUGAGAAAGUUUUGCCCCGGACCCUGCGCAACCUCUCGGCGGCUCUGUCUCAAAUAACCCACCCACUCCUUCAAAUUGGCUCAAGAAAUAUAUCCCGGCGGCUUAAUAAGAUGUUCUACGGUAAAUAUUAGUGAAAGGUUAUGCGACGGAAUAUCUUAACAUAUUCAGUGUUAUUAAACUAUAAUAAUAUUGAUACUGCCAAGAUUUGCGGCACACUUUAUAAAUAUAGUUCAAGUGUAAUUUAAUAUCGAAAAUGACAGGAGCGUUUUUAUAGUCUAGCUGAUCAGAACUUUGUUCGAAGAAAAACUCUUCCGACACACGAUAUUCAUGCCUUUUUAUAGAUGAUAUUUAGUCGUGCAUUUUAUCUCGCCGUGGCAAAUCAUAUGUAUAUAGCCUAACUAAAUUUGUCUGACAGGCACGGUGUUUAAUUUAAUACGAGGUAGCUAUGCUAACACGAGAAGAAAUCGUGAUGAAAACUCACUGAUGUAAUAUUACAUUUUAUUAAAUGAAACGCUUUAUUAUGCCAGUCAAAAGAAGCGUUACAUUUUACGUCAGUGUAAUGAUGUUUCCGUUUGUCUCACUCUGCAAUGACUCGCUAUUCACCAACUAGUAACUCACGAGUGAAUUGCCAUUCGCAAUUUCGCACACUCGUAACUUGCGAGUGACUAGCCAUUCACUGUGAUUGAUUCUUACUAUUUAUGACUAUGUCUAUGAUUUUCAAAAUUUUCGUUUUCACAAACAAGUGCAGCGUAGCUUAUCUGUAGUGUAGGUGUGAGCUUUAAAUCAAAUUUUAACAACAUCGCUAUCCUAUGAACAGAACUGACUGCAUGAAUAUUGCAUGGUAUGAAUAGAACUUACUGUAGUUUAAAAGAUAACUGCAUGCUACUACCGCAUUAAACUUUGAAUUAGAUUUUCAACUUGUUAUUUUGCCAUGUUUGUUCAAGACCAAAUAUAUUUCCUUUUCUUGGGCGUUUGAAUUGAAUGAGAACUAGACGAAUUUGGGUUGACUGUGUUGUCAUUUAUAGUAUUCGGAAUUUUCCGAAGAGACUCGAAGCUUCAAAGAGAAAUAACACGAGUUUCAGAACGCAUUCAAGAACGCGUUCCGAACGCGUUCUGGAAGGUGUUCCGAACGCGUUCAGGAAGGUGUUCCGAACGCGUUCUCGAAGGUGUUCCGAACGCGUUUUGGAACGCGUUCCGAACGCGUUCGCAGCAUUAGUUACUUCUGAGCAGUACUGUAGUUUAAACGAAAUUAACUUAGUUUUUGUUUGCUCGAUGUAGUUAGCCAAGAUGUCGUUCAUGGAUAUAUUAUACUGGCGAGAUCCGAAGAAAACAGGCCCUAUAUUCGUUGCUUGCCUGCUGUUAUUGUAUAGUUUUCAGCACUUCAGUGUAGUCACUGUCGUCACUUAUCUACUCAAAAUAUCAUUGCUACCAACGUUAUUGUUUCGCCUGGUCAUCAGUCUCAAAGCAGCGUUAACAAAGACAGAAUGUGAACAUCCAUUCAA
rnacentral:lncRNA from 1 species